ACUGUGGACUAUACUAGAACUUGUUAGUAGCGAAUUACUUGUAAUCGCCAAAGCAUAUAGAAUGAAACAGUAA
rnacentral:sRNA from 12 species